GAAGCUGGCUAGACAAUCGCUGCUCGCUUUCCAGUAAUGAAAGGCGAGGGGAGGAAAGUCCGGGCUCCAAAGAGCGGGAUGCCGGUUAAUGGCCGGCCGCCGUGAGGCGAGGAAUAGGGCCACAGAGACGAGCGUAUUAAGUUACGGUGAAACGCGGUAACCUCCAUCCGGAGCAAGACCAAAUAGGCAGGCAAUGAUGCUGCUCGCUGAGCCUGCGGGUAGGUUGCUUGAACGCACGGGCAACCGUGCGUCUAGAGGAAUGAUUGUCCAUGACAGAACCCGGCUUAUCGGCCAGCUUCAUUU
rfam:Nitrosospira briensis strain Nsp8 genome assembly, contig: Ga0105880_103